GCAUGUCUGUGUGCGUAUUAUAUACAUUUUACUUAAUUGUGUCAUUUCAUUAUUAGGCAUAGAGGCACAUAUAAAGCCAUACUGUUGGCACUGACGUGAUGAGCCUGCGUCCCUGAGACGAGGGAAUUAUCAUCCAUAGCCAUAUUGUGGUGGGAUCUCCAUAUCCCUGAUAUGAACAGACCGAAUAAAUCCCAUGAACCCCCAAACAAGUAUUCGUCGUCAUUACCUAGAC
rnacentral:lncRNA from 1 species